rnacentral:rRNA from 1 species
GACGAACGCUGGCGGCGUGCCUAAUACAUGCAAGUCGAGCGGACCUUUUAAAAGCUUGCUUCUAUAAGGUUAGCGGCGGACGGGUGAGUAACACGUGGGUAACCUGCCUGUAAGACUGGGAUAACUUCGGGAAACCGGGGCUAAUACCGGAUCAUUUAUUGACCCGCAUGGGGCAAAAGGAAAGGAGGCUUCUGCUGCCACUUAUAGAUGGACCCGCGCCGCAUUAGCUAGUUGGGGAGGUAACGGCUCACCAAGGCAACGAUGCGUAGCCGACCUGAGAGGUUGUCCGGCCCCACUGGACCGAGACACGGCCCCAACCCCCUCCGGGGGCCGCCGUUGGGAAUUCUUCGGCAAUGGGGGAAGGCCGACCGGGCCACGCCCCCGGAGUGGAGGAGGGCUUCCGGUCGGUAAACCCCUGUUAUGGGGGAGAACCAAAUGCGUAAGAACCUGGGCACGUCUUGACGGUACCCGGUCAGAAAGCCACGGCUAACUACGUG